rnacentral:rRNA from 1 species
AUUGAACGCUGGCGGCAGGCCUAACACAUGCAAGUCGAGCGGAGCGGCGGACGGGUGAGUAAUGCCUAGGAAUCUGCCUGGUAGUGGGGGAUAACGUCCGGAAACGGGCGCUAAUACCGCAUACUAUCAGAUGAGCCUAGGUCGGAUUGGCUAGUUGGUGGGGUAAAGGCCUACCAAGGCGACGAUCCGUAACUGGUCUGGGAGGAUGAUCAGUCACACUGGAACUGAGACACUGUCCAGACUCAUACGGGAGGCAGCAGUGGGGAAUAUUGGACAAUGGGCGAAAGCCUGAUGCAGCCAUGCCGCGUGUAUGAAGAAGGCCUUCGGGUUGUAAAGUACUUUCAGCGAGGAGGCGUUACUCGCAGAAGAAGCACCGGCUAACUCCGUGCCAGCCGCCGCGGUAAUAC